rnacentral:lncRNA from 1 species
CCUGGGAGGAGAAUUGUAUUUUCCAAGAACCAAAAGAGCCGGAGAACCUUCAGGAUGUCGGUGUGCAGCAGUACCUCGUGCAUAUAACCAAGGUCCCCAAAUUAAUUUGGAGUGCUUAGAGCAGCCUCUUCUAUCAUUGCAAAGUUCACAUCUCUCAAGGUAACUCCUGGCUCUAACGCAGUGUGAGAGCGAAGUAUCUUCCCUUGCACAGUACUCUUGGGACUCCGCCCGUGUGCUCGCCAAAGUCCAAGUGUAACUCCUAAGUAGUUCCGAGCAUCAGGGGCAGCAGCUUCCUGUCGUCUGCAGCAACCGAGCAAACUUCCGCAUGGCCGAGUAGUCAUCUGAAGACCGUAAGGAAGGUGUACGUGACUCGUUGCCCAUACAGAACGUACAUCCUUAGAAACAACAGAUACAUUUUCCCGAUUGCCCCAGUGUCACCCUGUGUGGACAGAAUGUUAUGUUUUUCCAGAAUAAUUUAAAUUGAUAGGCGUGACCUUCCGACGACUUCCCCUGUUUCCUCAUAAAUCCAUUCUGUUUGCUAACGGCGCUCCAUCACGAGACACUCUGUGCGUUUCUAACAUGAAACCCCACAAAUCUGGUGUGGGUUUAUAAUUCUGGGAGUCUGUUAAAAAUAAAAUAGUGC